CCUUGGCCUCCCAAGUGGUGAAAUAACAGUCUGUCUAUUGGAAUCAGAAUCCUGACAAGGUCCACCCUGCACACCACUUUCUCACAAAGGUCCUCUCAUCCUGAGCAGUCCUCCCUGCCACUGAUUUGUUGUCCUUCAUAAUGUCCCACAAUCUGCACCUGUCUUUGUUCUCCCUCAUGAUACUGCUUCACUUCUAUGCCCUGAAUUUCCUAUAAUGGGGAAGGAGCUCUAAAGCCUGGUUGUAGGAACACUUCAUGAACAGUACUGUGCAUGGCACACAAUCUCUAGCCAUCCCACUUGUCACGCUAAAAUCGAUGACUCGCUUCUGGUAGUGUCAGCCUGACUCUUUGGACAUGCUGAGUAAGCAGAGCGAGAAAGGAAGAGGGCUUCGACCAGAGGAAGAGGAGCAGAGAAAACAGGGAAGGAGAAUUCAGGGAAGUGGGGAAAAUCGAGGGAGCAGCAGCGUGGGGACUGAAGAAAGAAGGGUCAGGUGUCGCUGGGCAGCCAAGAAGAGACAAACAGGUCAGAUGGUUUUCACAACUGAUGGCUGAUAACUUGUAUGAGAGCAGCUUUAAUGGAGUGAUUAAGGUGUAAGUCAGAUUGCCCUGUGAUGGAGGUGUGAAUAGGGGUGGGAAGUGGAGGGCAAGGAAUAUCAAUAACAAUUUCAGGAAUUUGGCUGUAAGACAAGGGAAAAAGAUGGGAGACGUGAGCAUAGGAAGAGGGAUGUUGAAAAAAGAGGUUGUGUUUAUUCUGUGGCUCUUUUGAUGGGAGACACAUUCAUGCUGGGAGGUUGAAUAUUUAGGAACCAUAAGGAACUAUUACUAACAAAGAAAGUUCCAAAAACAUUCCUGGUUGGAAGGUUUCAC
rnacentral:lncRNA from 10 species